rnacentral:rRNA from 1 species
UACGGAGGGGGCUAGCGUUAUUCGGAAUUACUGGGCGUAAAGCGCGCGUAGGCGGUUCUUUAAGUUGAGGGUGAAAUCCCGGGGCCCAACCCCGGAACUGCCUUCAAAACUGGAGAGCUUGGAGUACGAGAGAGGUGAGUGGAAUUUCUAGUGUAGAGGUGGAAUUCGUAGAUAUUAGAAGGAACACCGGUGGCGAAGGCGGCUCACUGGCUCGUAACUGACGCUGUGGCGCGACAGCGUGGGGAUCAAACAGG